UACGGAGGGUGCGAGCGUUAUCCGGAAUCACUGGGUUUAAAGGGUGCGUAGGCGGUCUGAUAAGUCAGUUGUGAAAUUCCUCGGCUUAACCGAGUGGACUGCGAUUGAUACUGUCGGACUUGAAUCAGGUUGAGGUAGGCGGAAUGUGACAUGUAGCGGUGAAAUGCUUAGAUAUGUCAUAGAACACCGAUUGCGAAGGCAGCUUGCUAGACCUGGAUUGACGCUGAGGCACGAAAGCGUGGGGAGCAAACAGG
rnacentral:rRNA from 1 species